GACGAACGCUGGCGGCGUGCUUAACACAUGCAAGUCGAACGGAAAGGCCCUGCAUUUGUGGGGUGCUCGAGUGGCGAAAGGGUGAGUAACACGUGAGUAACCUGCCCUUGACUUUGGGAUAACUUCAGGAAACUGGGGCUAAUACCGGAUAUGAGCUCCUGCUGCAUGGGGGGGGUUGGAAAGUUUCGGCGGUUGGGGAUGGACUCGCGGCUUAUCAGCUUGUUGGUGGGGUAGUGGCUUACCAAGGCUUUGACGGGUAGCCGGCCUGAGAGGGUGACCGGCCACAUUGGGACUGAGAUACGGCCCAGACUCCUACGGGAGGCAGCAGUGGGGAAUAUUGCACAAUGGGCGGAAUCCUGAUGCAGCAACGCCGCGUGCGGGAUGACGGCCUUCGGGUUGUAAACCGCUUUCGCCUGUGACGAAGCGUGAGUGACGGUAAUGGGUAAAGAAGCACCGGCUAACUACGUG
rnacentral:rRNA from 1 species